rnacentral:rRNA from 1 species
CUGGCUCAGGAUGAACGCUGGCGGCGUGCCUAACACAUAGCAAGUCGAGCGAGAAAUCCAUGACGAAUUCUUCGGAUGCCUGAAUGGAUGGAAAGCGGCGGACGGGUGAGUAACGCGUAGGUAACCUGCCCUGUACAAAGGGAUAGCCACUGGAAACGGUGAUUAAUACCUUAUGACACCGCAGCAUCACAUGGUGAAGCGGUCAAAGAUUUUAUCGGUACAGGAUGGACCUGCGUCUGAUUAGUUAGUUGGCGGGGUAACGGCCCACCAAGGCGACGAUCAGUAGCCGACCUGAGAGGGUGAUCGGCCACAUUGGAACUGAGACACGGUCCAAACUCCUACGGGAGGCAGCAGUGGGGAAUAUUGCACAAUGGGCGCAAGCCCUGAUGCAGCAACGCCGCGUGAACGAAGAAGGCCUUUGGGUCGUAAAGUUCUGUUCUGAGGGAAGAAGAAAGUGACGGUACCUCAGGAGAAAGCCCCGGCUAACUACGUGCCAGCCGCGGC